rnacentral:misc_RNA from 1 species
CCUAGCAGAGCCGUCACGGAGUCGCACAAAGAACAGUGUACUGUGGCUGUGCUACGCAGAAAGUGGAACGCUCGUAGUGAGCGACAAACAAGACCUUGCUUGGAAUAGGACUUGGUAUAUAUACUGUGCUGAACUCGGUAUAGUGUGAUCUGCAUGUAAUUUCACCGACAUCUAUAAAUAACACCUAAUUAAGCUUGCAAGUGUGGAUAGAGUUGGCGCGCAGUCUUCGCCCUAAGGAAUACGGAAGCGAGAAGGCGAGAACUGCCACUGCUGACAGACGCCAGCCACGUUACUACGGCGGCCGUAAAUAUGUCAGACAAGGAAAACAUUCCACGUCGUCAGCGGUCAGCGUCUGAUACCUCCACUCUGAGCGACUUUGGUCAUCGCCCGACGUUUGAGCGUCGCGCUAGCGGAGUGAAGCUAGUGCGACAAAAUAGCAACGUGGUCGGUCCGAUUCUCGUCGAGGUACAGGACGACUCGGGCAAUGUCGACUUUCCACACAUAGAUGAGCCAGAGGAUGACAGCACCGGUCAGUUGCAGAUGAUGAAAUGGCUACUACAAGCGGAUGCUAGUCUGGCAAUGCUUGGCAAUCAGCUGACACUGGACGACGUUGAGGAGAAGAUCGCGCCCAUCAUGGAGGCUGCAGAAACGAGGAAGAAGGAGCUGCAGCAGCUACUCGUAGAGCACGCGUCUCUCGUUGCAAAGAUCAACACGUCCGAGGGUUCCGUCAGGCAGAAGAUGGCGCCCAAGCGACAGCACACGAUCGCAUAACCGUGCGCGGCUCCCUGCAAUGCAACACGGCAAACACGCGAACUUGCUCUCUCUUUCCCUACAGGCACAGGAGACGUGCACGUUCGGCUGGGGAGGGGUGACACGCAGCAGGUGCUAAUGCAUCGAUUACCGGCAAAUCGACGUCACAGGCACGUUAUUGUACAUCAAUCAUCUAUCGAUUAGUCCUAGAGAUCAAGCAGGUCAACGCGCGCAGUUUGGCGGUGUAGGACGUCCCAAAGAUUACCAUUUGCGCAUUGAUAUUUUGAUAGCAGUAAUCGUCUCCACGAACCAGUGUUGCAGUUCACUCGCAGCAAUAUUUACACACAAUCACUCUGGAAGCAAUACACUGUUACAAAGACACACAUGGUUAUAGCAGUAGACCAUGGACAUGCCAUAUGACUGCAGUAUGAGAAACGGGUAGCUUAACAGCCUGGAGGGGUCUUCGACCAAAGGGCCAACGUGCACCUCCGAAAAUAAUACAUGUACAGUAGAAAUUUGAUGAUCAGUCAGACGAUCGGCAUAUUUUAACAAGGUGCGAGCACCCACACUGCUCUCUAGAGCACUCUAAUUAACGGGGCCAGAGUUUCAAAAACAUGGCUUCAGUGACCAGUAGCCACUUGCCUAUUUGUACCGAUUAUAUGAGCAACAUGCGUGAUUGAGAGAUUUGGCCCCUGAAGUUUCUCACAUUUGCAGGUGAUUGAGAUGGAGAUGACGAUGAAGGUUUAUGAAAUUUAAAGGAAUAAUAUGUCCAUUGAUUAUGCAAUGUUGACGAA